GAUGAACGCUGGCGGCGUGCUUAACACAUGCAAGUCGAACGAACUGAGAGGAGCUUGCUCCUCAAAGUUAGUGGCGGACGGGUGAGUAACGCGUGGGUAACCUGCCCUAUGCAGGGGGAUAACGUUUGGAAACGAACGCUAAUACCGCAUAAACUAUGGAAAGUCGCAUGACUUUUAUAGCAAAGAUUUAUCGGCAUAGGAUGGACCCGCGUUGGAUUAGCUAGUUGGUGAGAUAACAGCCCACCAAGGCGACGAUCCAUAGCCGGCCUGAGAGGGUGAACGGCCACAUUGGGACUGAGACACGGCCCAAACUCCUACGGGAGGCAGCAGUGGGGAAUAUUGCACAAUGGGCGAAAGCCUGAUGCAGCAACGCCGCGUGAAGGAUGAAGGUCUUCGGAUUGUAAACUUCUAUCAGCAGGGAAGAAUAAAUGACGGUACCUGACUAAGAAGCUCCGGCUAACUACGUGCCAGCCGCCGCAGUAACAC
rnacentral:rRNA from 1 species